UAGAUACAGAAGAAUUUGACAUGGGUUUGACAUGGGUCACAUCGCAGCAUGUGGGCCGAACAAAAGGUUUUCUCUCGGUUAUUUUUCUUUUUUCUUUUAUUAUUCCCGUAUGUUAUAUUGUUAACCGUCAGAAAUAGCAGCUGGUAGUUAUAAUACAUUGUAUAUUUUUUCAAACGAGAUUUCGGAAAAUAAAUUAUUAUAUAAUGGUUGCAGGUUAUAUAAUAAACGUACCAAGUCGAUUUUAUGGGGG